CCUACGGGUGGCAGCAGUGGGGAAUAUUGGGCAAUGGGGGCAAGCCUGAUCCAGCGACGCCGCGUGAGUGAAGAAGUAUUUCGGGUUGUAAAGCUCUAUCAGCAGGGACGAAACAAAUGACGGUACCUGACUAAGAAGCCACGGCUAACUACGUGCCAGCAGCCGCGGUAAUACGUAGGGGGCAAGCGUUAUCCGGAUUUACUGGGUGUAAAGGGAGCGUAGGCGGGGACGCAAGUCAGGAGUGAAAGCCGAGGGCUCAACCAGUGGACUGCAUUUGAAACUGUUUAUCUGGAGUGCUGGAGAGGUAAGUGGAAUUCCGAGUGUAGCGGUGAAAUGCGUAGAUAUAAGGAGGAACACCAGUGGCGAAGGCGGAUUGCUGGACUGUAACUGACGUUGAGGCGCGAAAGCGUGGGGAGCAAACAGGAUUAGAUACCCCUGUAGUC
rnacentral:rRNA from 1 species